GACGAACGCUGGCGGCGUGCUUAACACAUGCAAGUCGAACGGAAAGGCCCUGCUUUUGUGGGGUGCUCGAGUGGCGAACGGGUGAGUAACACGUGAGUAACCUGCCCUUGACUUUGGGAUAACUUCAGGAAACUGGGGCUAAUACCGGAUAGGAGCUCCUGCUGCAUGGUGGAGGUUGGAAAGUUUCGGCGGUUGGGGAUGGACUCGCGGCUUAUCAGCUUGUUGGUGGGGUAGUGGCUUACCAAGGCUUUGACGGGUAGCCGGCCUGAGAGGGUGACCGGCCACAUUGGGACUGAGAUACGGCCCAGACUCCUACGGGAGGCAGCAGUGGGGAAUAUUGCACAAUGGGCGGAAGCCUGGUGCAGCAACGCCGCGUGCGGGAUGACGGCCUUCGGGUUGUAAACCGCUUUCGCCUGUGACGAAGCGUGAGUGACGGUAAUGGGUAAAGAAGCACCGGCUAACUACGUG
rnacentral:rRNA from 1 species